rnacentral:lncRNA from 1 species
CCUGAGCUGCAGGAGGAGAGCCUGCAGGCCUCCUGGGUGAAACUGCACCUUCACGAUAAUGGGAAUGGGAGCAGUGUUUCAGCCUCAGCUUCUAUUUAAAAUGGUGACAUGAAAAAAGUACUGCUGGAUUUCCAGCAUGAGUCCGGAUAGAGAUAGGUCUAAGUUCUCCCUGUGACAGCCCACCUCAUUCACAGAUAUCAUGGGAUACUAAUAGGGCUUCUGAAACAGAAACCCAAAGAAUUCACGCAAAAAACAGCUCUCCAUCUGAGCAAGAUUAUAUCAAGAGAAAAUAAAAAGUUAAAAGCAUCUUUAAAAACAAAACUCAGAUUAGAUAUAAUAUUGAUCAAGUCCACCAGAAAAUAUUCCUCUAAAAAAAUAUUUCUCUUUAAAUACCCAAAGUGCACAACUAUUCUCAGCGUGAGAAACAUGAGCGUUAUAAAGAAACGGGACAGGCCAGUUGCGGUGGCUCAUACCUGUAAUCCCAGCACUU